GAUGAACGCUGGCGGCGUGCCUAAUACAUGCAAGUCGAGCGAACAGACGAGGAGCUUGCUUCUCUGACGUUAGCGGCGGACGGGUGAGUAACACGUGGAUAACCUACCUAUAAGACUGGGAUAACUUCGGGAAACCGGAGCUAAUACCGGAUAAUAUAUUGAACCGCAUGGUUCAAUAGUGAAAGACGGUUUUGCCGUCACUUAUAGAUGGAUCCGCGCCGCAUUAGCUAGUUGGUAAGGUAACGGCUUACCAAGGCAACGAUGCGUAGCCGACCUGAGAGGGUGAUCGGCCACACUGGAACUGAGACACGGUCCAGACUCCUACGGGAGGCAGCAGUAGGGAAUCUUCCGCAAUGGGCGAAAGCCUGACGGAGCAACGCCGCGUGAGUGAUGAAGGUCUUCGGAUCGUAAAACUCUGUUAUUAGGGAAGAACAAAUGUGUAAGUAACUAUGCACGUCUUGACGGUACCUAAUCAGAAAGCCACGGCUAACUACGUG
rnacentral:rRNA from 1 species